rnacentral:misc_RNA from 1 species
GAUGAAGAACGUAGCGAAAUGCGAUAAGUAAUGUGAAUUGCAGAAUUCAGUGAAUCAUCGAAUCUUUGAACGCACCUUGCGCCCUUUGGCUAUUCCGAAGGGCAUGCCUGUUUGAGUAUCGUGAACACCUCAACUCUCAUGGUUUGCCAUGAUGAGCUUGGACUUUGGGGGUUUUGCUGGCCUUUGGUCGGCUCCUCUCAAACGGAUCAGCUUUCCAGUGUUUGGUGGCGUCACGAGUGUGAUAACUAUCUACGCCUGUGGUUUUCUGCCAGAUAACCUUCAGCGAUGGAGGUUCGCUGGGGCUCAUAAAUGUCUCUCUUCAGUGGAGACAGCUUUUUGGACGUUUGAUCUCAAAUCAGGUAGGACUACCCGCUGAACUUAAGCAUAUCAAUAAGCGGAGGA